UGUGCGUAUUAGGAUACUAAAAGUACAAGUCCGUUGCACCGCCGAAUGAGGGUUGCGUUAUUUUAGAUUUUUAGAAAGCUUCAAAAAAUGGCGCAUUGGUUAAAUGGCGGUAGAAAGUUUGCCGUCGUAAACCGCUGGGCGUAGUUCUUGAUCGGGGUUAGUUUCCUUUUCUGCUGACACAAUGGGGUCUUGCAACGAAGAAUCGGAAGAUGAACCUGGAGUCUCUGCCAUUAGGGCUCUCGGGUCUCUCUUUAAGUUGACCGAAGUCUUUCUCUGGGACGAUGAGACGGAAAUAGCUAGACGACUGGAAAGUCGUUUAGCACUUGAUGCUGAUGAUGCCAAUAACGAAAAACCCGUGGAGAAAAUCUGUUCUACAAUCAGUGGUAUCAGCUUAUUACCGGAGGAUAUCGAACUUACUGAACAGAUGAAUGCUUUGGGCCUUCCUCUUUCAUUCCACACAAACAAAGAACCAAAGAGAAUUGGAAUCACCAUGGGUAAAAGAAAAGCAACUGUCAAGCACUCUAGAAUUCAGCAAGGAUUUCUAGACAAAGAAGUGGAGUUUCCUAAAGCGAGCAUGAGGGAGGAGAUUAUAGCUAAUAAUACUUUCAACGAUGACGCAAUAGGUUCUCUAUGCUGCUAUUCUAUGGUGAAUCAAAGUGAGACUUCUGAUCGUGAUGUGGUGUUGGAUACCAAUGAAACCCAUGUCAUCUUUGAUGGAGAUAUUUCACGUAAUUCAAGUGGAGUUAUCAGUGGUGCUAUUGAAGAACAAUUUUGUGAUGUUACGUGUGAUAUUGUGCUGAACAAUGGGGGAGACCAUGAAUUAAGCUCAGAUGAUGCUGUGCUGGGGGAUCAUAUAAAAGUUAGAUCGAGUUCAAUUGGUUUAGAUAAGGAUCAUUCUUCAAGACUGUGUACCACAGGUCUUGAUGUUGGCCAUGGCAAGCAGGAGGAAGUUGAACCAUCUAUGGAGUCGGAAGGUUCUUCCACAACUUUCCAAGAUACUGAAGUGCAGAACAUUGACGUUGAUAGUGGCAUUGGACUACCAGAAGUAGCUGAACCAUGUCAUAUGGGAGCGGACUAUAAUGAAAAUGAUCAAGUUGUUGGAUGUAUUCAUGAAUCUGGAGACUGGAUGGUGUACUGGGAUUCUUUUUAUAUGAGAAACUACUUCUACAAUAUAAAGUCACAGGAGUCUACUUGGAAUCCUCCUUCAGGGUUGGAACAUUUUGCAUCAUCUGAUGCCAAUUUCACUCCUAAUGAAUCAAUUGCCGAAGUUCCCAAAAUGGAUGUAUUAGAAGAUGUAAAAUCAGAAGAUAUUUGUGGGGUGCUUGGUGAUACCAAGUGUAUGAACUUACUUGGCGAUAAUGUUCACUGCCAACCACCUGAUGCACUGUUGGAGGGCUCUAGUAGUUUAUUUGAGGGCUCCGAGAGUAGUGCAUUUGUCAAUACUUCAGUUAACUGCAAUAAGGAUGAACCUCAAGCGUGGCUGAUGAGUUGCAGAAAUACCAGGGAAAAUAUUGGACGCAGUUGUGAAGGUCAUGCCAAGCAAUCAUGUUGUGAGAAUUGCACCAACGGUUCCCAGCUCAUUGUUGCACAUGAUGCUUCUGAACAAAAGACAUUCAGCCAUCACAAACCUAGUAAUAUGCACUCACCCGGGAUAGAUUAUGUCACCAUAGACGACGAUGAAGGCACAGCAGGUUUAACUACUAGCGGUGUUUCUCUUAUGCUUCAGCAGGAAGAUCAUAUCGAUGGUGAUAUGCAUUUUGGAAAUGGACCUAUCAUUUGUACACUGGGUACCGAUCAAAAUCUUUCUGUAAGAUAUAGGAAAAAGAAAACGAAAAGAACACGCAGACGCGCACAAUUAUCUGAUAGAAAUGAAGAAUUUCGUUCUUUUGCAAUCACUGAAGAGUAUCCCACAAGUAUUACUAAGUAUUGGUGUCAGAGGUAUCAACUCUUCUCCAGAUUUGAUGAUGGUAUAAAAAUGGACAAAGAAGGAUGGUUUUCUGUAACUCCAGAGCCUAUAGCUAGGCAUCACGCCUCACGUUGUGGUAGCAAUAUGAUCAUUGACUCUUUCACUGGUGUUGGUGGAAAUGCCAUCCAGUUUUCCCAAAGGGCCAAACAUGUUAUUGCAAUUGAUAUUGAUCCAACAAAGAUUAGAUAUGCCCAACAUAAUGCUGCUAUAUAUGGUGUUGAAGAUCAAAUAGAUUUCCUAAAGGGGGACUUCUUCCGUUUAGCCCCACACCUCAAGAAUGUUGUUGGAUUCUACCUGCUGCAGGCUGACGUUAUAUUCUUAUCACCUCCUUGGGGUGGCCCUGAUUAUGCCAGAGUAGAUAUUUAUGACCUGACCAAGCUCAAACCACAUGAUGGGUAUUUUCUCUUUAAUGUUGCUAAGAAAAUUGCUCCCCUCAUUGUCAUGUUUCUUCCAAAAAAUGUUAAUCUCAACCAACUAGCGGAGCUGUCUCUUUCUUCUGAUCCUCCAUGGUCACUUGAGGUUGAGAAAAACUUUUUAAAUGGCAAGUUGAAGGCGAUUACUGCUUACUUUAGCAAUGACUCCAUGAACAAAAACAAUGUCACCUAAUGCGUGAUAUCAUAUACUCCUUUUGAGAUUCUCCAGCAAUUUGUGAUGGGUAAGGUAUAAAAUGAAGUUGGAUGUUUCAGUUUAUAGUUCUACCCUAAUGGGUAUAAGAUGCUUAAAUUAUUGGCUUGACGAAACAUUUUGGCGGACAUGGAGAAGAGGAAUAGUUCAUUGUACAGUCAACAAAACUCUUAUAAUUGAAUGUGUCAUUAUUCUCUCAUGGGUCGAUGUACCAAUAGCCCCAUUGUACAAACUACAAAGAUGGGAUAUUUUUGUAAGCUUCAGUUAGAUCAGAUAGAGACUAUUACAAAUACAAAGUUAUUUCCAGUGAAACGAGAAGGCCGUGAUGGUUCACGAGCCAACCAACUGCAUCCAAGGGAUUUGAAGGUAUUCCUUUACUAUCAAACCAAACCAAACCAAUGUCGAGUGCUCUAUUUCCGGUCAAACUUGGCAUGGCAUAUAAGUGGUGCAACAAUCAUUUAUGUUCGUUGGUUCUUCCAUUAUUAUGUAUAAAUGUUAGAUGAGAGAAUUAUAAUUUCGUUCUUCAAGAAAAAACAACAUAAGUUAAGUUGGUCUAGUACAAAAAAGAGAGUGACAAUUUCAAUAACUAGUUAAGAAGUCACGAGUUCAAUUUAUGGUGAUCAUCUAGAAUUUAAUAUCCUACGAGCUUUCUUGACAUACAAAUGUUAUAAGGUUAUAUAGGCUGUUUUGUAAGAUUAAUUGAGGUGCGUGAGCGGAUUUGGAUAAAAAAAAUUGUUCAGAAGAAAAAGGAAAAAUAAAAAGAAGGAAA